GUGGGCGUAGCUCAACUGGCCAGAGCGCGACGUUGCCAACGUCGAGGUUGUGGGUUCGACCCCCAUCGCCUGCU
rnacentral:tRNA from 1 species